UAGGUUAUGUGCCCUUUAGUCUGGGAUAGCCACUGGAAACGGUGAUUAAUACUGGAUACUCCCUACGGGGGAAAGGUUUUUCGCUAAAGGAUCAGCCUAUGUCCUAUCAGCUUGUUGGUGAGGUAAUGGCUCACCAAGGCUAUGACGGGUAUCCGGCCUGAGAGGGUGAUCGGACACACUGGAACUGAGACACGGUCCAGACUCCUACGGGAGGCAGCAGUAGGGAAUAUUGCUCAAUGGGGGAAACCCUGAAGCAGCAACGCCGCGUGGAGGAUGAAGGUUUUAGGAUUGUAAACUCCUUUUGUAAGAGAAGAUUAUGACGGUAUCUUACGAAUAAGCACCGGCUAACUCCGUGCCAGCAGCCGCGGUAAUACGGAGGGUGCAAGCGUUACUCGGAAUCACUGGGCGUAAAGAGCGCGUAGGCGGGUGGUCAAGUCAGAUGUGAAAUCCUGUAGCUUAACUACAGAACUGCAUUUGAAACUGACCAUCUAGAGUAUGGGAGAGGUAGGUGGAAUUCUUGGUGUAGGGGUAAAAUCCGUAGAGAUCAAGAGGAAUACUCAUUGCGAAGGCGACCUGCUGGAACAUUACUGACGCUGAUGCGCGAAAGCGUGGGGAGCAAACAGGAUUAGAUACCCUGGUAGUCCACGCCCUAAACGAUGAAUGCUAGUUGUUGCCCUGCUUGUCAGGGCAGUAAUGCAGCUAACGCAUUAAGCAUUCCGCCUGGGGAGUACGGUCGCAAGAUUAAAACUCAAAGGAAUAGACGGGGACCCGCACAAGCGGUGGAGCAUGUGGUUUAAUUCGAAGAUACGCGAAGAACCUUACCUAGGCUUGACAUUGAUAGAAUCCGCUAGAGAUAGUGGAGUGCUGGCUUGCCAGAGCUUGAAAACAGGUGCUGCACGGCUGUCGUCAGCUCGUGUCGUGAGAUGUUGGGUUAAGUCCCCGCAACGAGCGCAACUCCUCGUUCCUUAGUUGCUAGCAGCUCGGCUGAGCACUCUAAGGAGAACUGCCUUCGUUAAGGAAGGAAGGGAAARGGUGUGAG
rnacentral:rRNA from 1 species